CGAAAUCUAUAAUUCAUAUUGGAAAAAUGUAGUAAAAUUAAGAUGUAAUUUUAUAGAACUAACCGAAACCUGAAUUAUCAAAAAAACAAACAAAGAUAUAUAUGUUUCGGUGAAUAUCUAAAACCUCCCAGACACAAUUAUCGGGAAGCCUUUCCCGACAAUGUUUUUUGACGCCGACGGAGGUCCAACGGCGACCCAAACUCCAGUGACGGAGGCCAGCGAUGGGGUCCCGCGUUCGUCCUCAGGUCUCACCCUCUGUUCGCACGAUCUCAGCCAAAGCCACCAAUUCCAAGU